UACAGAGGUCCCAAGCGUUGUUCGGAUUCACUGGGCGUAAAGGGUGCGUAGGUGGUCGGGUAAGUCUGAUGUGAAAGCUCUGGGCUCAACCCAGAAAUGGCAUUGGAUACUAUUCGGCUGGAGGGUUGGAGGGGGGACUGGAAUUCUCGGUGUAGCAGUGAAAUGCGUAGAUAUCGAGAGGAACACCAGUGGCGAAAGCGGCGCACUGGACCAUAACUGACGCUGAGGCGCGAAAGCUAGGGGAGCAAACAGG
rnacentral:rRNA from 1 species